UGCUACCUAUAGACCCAUCAUGCUGACAUGGCUAAAUACCAAUUAGGGCAACUUUGGCCAUCUUUCAAUGAAAGCCACCACCUCUUCAUGUCUUCUUCCUCUUGGAAGAUUACCCAUCUUCUCUCUGCCUCUCCAAUCAAUCCAUUGUCUUCUUCUCUCCAUCUUGUUUCCCCCUCCUCUUUCCCUCAAAAGUACAACAUGUCUACACAGUCCUGAAGCCUCAACGGAGGCCUAACCCUCUUAGCUCUUCACCAAUCACAACUUUUUGAACUCAAUUUCACCUCAAUUGCCAAUUGUUAUACAUGAACAGCUUUGAUGCAUUGUUUUUUUUUCUUCCUUUAGAUUUGUGUGCCCCUUUUCUCAGUGUGUUCCAUCUGCGCUGUGCUUUUUUGGAGCUUCCUGUACCUCCUCCGAAUCAGCACACAACAGCAAGCAUGCAGACAAACAUGCAGGAGCUGGAAGAGAGAAGUCAGAAGUGAUCCAGAUGCAGCCUAACCCUUGUUGGAACUUGCCCAAGGCAAGACCAGGACUAGAUGAGGUCUCUGAGGGGCUGUCUGCGUGCAUCACUGGGGGAGAAAUGAAUAGCUCUCCAGUGGCGACAACGCGAUACCAACAGGUGGCUGUGACUGAAUCACGCGCCCUGAAAGCUGACCGUGACUAAUGAGUGACUCUGGUGUGAAGAACUGCUCUACGUCAGGAAAUAGGAAGUAAGAGCAUCAUUAGGCUGAGCAGGUGUCUCCUCUGCUGGACAGCCUUUUCAAAACCACAGCACACAAUACUUGCACUUUGUAUGCACUUAAUAUAAUGUAUUAUUAGUGGUCUUAUUAUUGUAACGCGUUAGUGAAACGCCGUUACUUUCGGCGGUAAAUAGUAAUCUAAGGCGUUAUUUUUUAUAUUCAGUAACUCAGUUACCGUUACUACAUGAUGCGUUACUGCGUUAUUUUACGUAAUUUUUUAUGUAGUAUCGGCUAGAAACUGAGAAGAUAUGAGAUUGUUUUAUUGCUGCGGUGUCGUCCUUCUGAAUGUUCCUGUGUCACAAGGAAGAGGCGCGCCACGCGCUGUCUAUGUGUAUGUGUGUGGGAGGGGGCGUGUCUGUGUUUACUAACAAGACAUGGCGAAGCCGAGUUUCUUAACAUGGAGAUACUCUCACUACUUUUCUUUUGUCGACCACAAAGAAAAGAGCAUUUUAGUUAAAUGUAAGUUGUGUCUUGGAUCAAAGAUCCUAUCCUAGCAAUUCAAAUCGGCUGAAACAGCUACAAAAGCAACAUGCUUCAACAAAGCUAGUAAAGAGAGACACAUUUCACCUCCUAAGCAACAGCGGCUGGAUUUUAAUGAGGCACUGUGCACUGAAGGUACACACUCUGUCAAUUCUCUUAUACUGUUGCUCUUUCAUUCUAGACUUCUAGAGUGUUUGAUUAUCACAUCACUCUAAAUGUAUAGACUAUAAAGUUCACAAACAUAAAGAGGGAUGCUA